rnacentral:lncRNA from 1 species
UGGUUUUCUUGCUUUUUUUCAUCUGCUGUUCCUAAAGCCCUUUCUGAUUUAAGCAUCAGAUAGCCCAAUCGGAGCUAAUCCGGUGAGCCUUUUCUUUCUUCUUUAGCAUGCGGAGAAGCGAAUUAAUGCACCAAGAAUCAUUGUCUCACUAGAGUGCUAACUGGCUAGGAGUCUUUCGACCACCCGAUCGGGUUUUGGCGACAAUACUUUCAUCUUUAGUCAAACAUGGGAUCAUCUUCUCCAUCAACCUAAUAUGCAUGUUAUUGGAUGCAAAUGGGGGUAUAAGCCCAAACUACGAAUAAAUGCUCUC